AGGACGAACGCUGGCGGCGUGCCUAACACAUGCAAGUCGAACGGAGUUGAGGAGCUUGCUCCUAACUUAGUGGCGGACGGGUGAGUAACGCGUGAGUAACCUGCCUCUGAGAGGGGAAUAACGUUCUGAAAAGAACGCUAAUACCGCAUGACACAUAUUUGCCGCAUGACAGAUAUGUCAAAGAUUUUAUCGCUCAGAGAUGGACUCGCGUCCGAUUAGUUAGUUGGUGAGGUAACGGCUCACCAAGACCGCGAUCGGUAGCCGGACUGAGAGGUUGAACGGCCACAUUGGGACUGAGACACGGCCCAGACUCCUACGGGAGGCAGCAGUGGGGGAUAUUGCGCAAUGGGGGGCCAACCCUGACGCAGCAACGCCGCGUGAAGGAUGAAGGUUUUCGGAUUGUAAACUUCUUUUCUCAGGGACGAAAUUUGACGGUACCUGAGGAAUAAGCUCCGGCUAACUACGUGCCAGCCGCCGC
rnacentral:rRNA from 1 species